GUCAGGAUGGCCCUGGAGAGUGGUCAAGGCGCCAGACUUAGGUUCUGGUCUCCAAUUGGAGGCGUGGGUUCGAACCCCACUUCUGACA